UUCCGUGAGUGUUCGUCCACGAGGCGCGUGGCUCUGCUUAUCAAUCAACCCGGUCGACCUACUCUCCGCUCUCGUAAAUACAAAUCAGCCGUCGCGAUACCGGGAUCGCGAGUUACGAUCAUUUGGGUGGUCCUCGUUGCGGACCAUCAAGGUGCCAAGCUCCAUUAUUAGACACGGGGAACGCGAGGAACGUGAAGGAACGUCCGAGCUGGCACACUAACAAUAAGAAACAGCAGAGAGUGUUACUGUUGAUGGGCAAGGUAUGCGAUCAUCGCGUGAAAUUGCCUCUACAGAUGGAAUAUCGAUGAGAUUUCAUGGAAGCGUACGAUAUACCCAUGGAGAACGGAUUGCAUAGUGAGAUAUUGGAUAGAUGGAUAAAUUAUGGCUACGGUGAGUGAUAAUGAUCCCGUUAUGCCUCCUUGUGCACGUGAACCUACCGAGGAUAUAAUGGCGAUGCCAGGACGAACCAAAGGGAUAUCCAGGAGCGCGCCCCGUAGUCCAGGGGCGUAGAAAAGAAGGGAUCCUAAAGGCCGCCUCGUCAUCCGUCAACUGUCAGACAUCCGCCCAAUCCUGCAGUCCGGCAUGAGAACCCGGGUAACCACCGCCCACGGACCUAAGGGCAAAUUACCCAAAGGGGCCUCACCUUGAUUCGUCCAUGUUUCAAAGGGAAUUCACCUACAGGAUCCUCGAAAGUCAAAUACCACUCGAAGGAGCCGCGUUUCGCAAACCAGCACAGCGACCCCCCGAAGAAUCCGAAACUAAGGAAAGACAGCGCUUUCGCAUUCCAUUCUAUAUAUACAUAUAUAUAACAAAAACCAAAAGAACGACCCCCCACAAGAUGUCGAUCCACGCAGCACAAGUGUACGAAAAAAGAAAAGUAGAAAACGAAAAGUUAUACCGAUCUUAAGGGCGGAAGGUAGCGGCGGAUCGAGACGCGCGGAAACACUGCAGGGUUAUGAAGUGCGAUGUUGAUGCGAUAGCAUAGUGAAGUGAAGGAAGGAAGGAAGGCGAGGGAAACGUGAAGCACACCAAGUCAGAAGGCACCCACACGUUCUCUCAGUGGGGUUCAAGUUCCAGUCGUGUGCGUCUAUACACACGAGGUAGCUCGUGUCCCUCCCGACAGACGAACACCAGGACAAGAGUGAGGAACCAUGGAGGAAGUUGGUGGGCAGGGAAAGGGCGGGGAGCGAAGAGGGAAGUUGCACGAGUUGGAUGGGCCCUGUUCCGCCGCUCCCUUGUUCAGGCACUGCAACCUGCGCCAGGGUAUCCUGGAAGGGAACCUACUGCUACACCUCCUCCUCGAGCGAUCCUGGCUAUUAUUGUUUGUUGGUCAAUUCCAGCUCAUUUCGGCGAGUGUUCUUCGAUUCGGAACUACCCUGGCUAUAUAUCCGUAAUUACGACCAGAGCGGGGAAUGCUUUUAGCGUACCGCCUCUCGCGGUGGAGACAGUCGUACGGAACGAGAAGGGCCAACGCGCGUGCAUGCCUGUCCU